UACGUGAGCUGGGUUUAGAACGUCGUGAGACAGUUCGGUCCCUAUCUGCCAUGGGUGUUGGAGACUUGAGAGGAUCUGUCCCUAGUACGAGAGGACCGGGAUGGACGCACCUCUGGUGCACCGGUUGUGGCGCCAGCCGCAUCGCCGGGUAGCUAAGUGCGGAACGGAUAACCGCUGAAGGCAUCUAAGCGGGAAACCAGCCUCAAGACGAGGUCUCCCCAAGGGCCGUGAUAGACCAUCACGUUGAUAGGCCGCAGGUGGAAGCUCGGUAACG
rnacentral:rRNA from 1 species